rnacentral:rRNA from 1 species
UACGGAGGGUGCAAGCGUUAUCCGGAUUCACUGGGUUUAAAGGGUGCGUAGGUGGCUUUGUAAGUCAGUGGUGAAAUCUUAGAGCUUAACCCUAAAACUGCCAUUGAUACUGCUUAGCUUGAAUCACGUCGAGGUGGAUGGAAUAUUACAUGUAGCGGUGAAAUGCUUAGAUAUGUAAUAGAACACCGAUUGCGAAGGCAGCUCACUACACGUAUAUUGACUCUGAGGCACGAAAGCGUGGGGAUCAAACAGG